AGAACGAACGCUGGCGGCAGGCCUCAAACAUGCAAGUCUAGGGGGCGUAGCAAUACGUCACCGGCGGACGGGUGCGUAACACGUGGGAAUGUACUUACUGGUUCGGAACAACUCAGGGAAACUUGAGCUAAUACCGAAUGUGCCCGAAAGGGGAAAGAUUUAUCGCCAGUAAAUCAGCCCGCGUCCGAUUAGCUAGUUGGCGGGGUAAAGGCCCACCAAGGCGACGAUCGGUAGCUGUUCUGAGAGGAAGAUCAGCCACACUGGGACUGAGACACGGCCCAGACUCCUACGGGAGGCAGCAGUUGGGAAUCUUGGACAAUGGGGGAAACCCUGAUCCAGCCAUGCCGCGUGAGUGAUGAAGGCCUUCGGGUUGUAAACUCUUUCGACGGGGACGAUAAUGACGGUACCCGUAGAAGAGCUCCGGCUAACUUCGUGCCAGCAGCCGC
rnacentral:rRNA from 1 species